rnacentral:rRNA from 1 species
GAACGAUGAAGCCCUUCGGGGUGGAUUAGUGGCGAACGGGUGAGUAACACGUGGGCAAUCUGCCCUGCACUCUGGGACAAGCCCUGGAAACGGGGUCUAAUACCGGAUAUGACCGUCCAUCGCAUGGUGGAUGGUGUAAAGCUCCGGCGGUGCAGGAUGAGCCCGCGGCCUAUCAGCUAGUUGGUGAGGUAGUGGCUCACCAAGGCGACGACGGGUAGCCGGCCUGAGAGGGCGACCGGCCACACUGGGACUGAGACACGGCCCAGACUCCUACGGGAGGCAGCAGUGGGGAAUAUUGCACAAUGGGCGAAAGCCUGAUGCAGCGACGCCGCGUGAGGGAUGACGGCCUUCGGGUUGUAAACCUCUUUCAGCAGGGAAGAAGCGAAAGUGACGGUACCUGCAGAAGAAGCGCCGGCUAACUACGUGCCAGCAGCCGCGGUAAUACGUAGGGCGCAAGCGUUGUCCGGAAUUAUUGGGCGUAAAGAGCUCGUAGGCGGCUUGUCACGUCGGUUGUGAAAGCCCGGGGCUUAACCCCGGGUCUGCAGUCGAUACGGGCAGGCUAGAGUUCGGUAGGGGAGAUCGGAAUUCCUGGUGUAGCGGUGAAAUGCGCAGAUAUCAGGA